GACGUAGGGCGCGAGCGUUGUCCGGAUUUAUUGGGCGUAAAGAGCUCGUAGGCGGCUUGUCGCGUCGUCCGUGAAAACUUGGGGCUCAACCCCAAGCUUGCGGUCGAUACGGGCAGGCUAGAGUUCGGUAGGGGAGACUGGAAUUCCUGGUGUAGCGGUGAAAUGCGCAGAUAUCAGGAAGAACACCCGUGGCGAAGGCGGCUCUCUGGAACGCAACUGACGCUGAGACGCGAAAGCGUGGGGAGCAAACAGG
rnacentral:rRNA from 1 species